rnacentral:rRNA from 1 species
GAUGAACGCUAGCGGCAGGCUUAAUACAUGCAAGUCGAGGGGCAGCAGCUUUAUAGCAAUAUAGAGGCUGGCGACCGGCAAACGGGUGCGGAACACGUACACAACCUUCCUUGAAUAGGGGGAUAGCCCAUAGAAAUGUGGAUUAAUACCCCGUAAUAUAGCGGUGUGGCAUCACACUGUUAUUACAGUUUCGACGGUUCGAGAUGGGUGUGCGGCUGAUUAGGUAGUUGGCGGGGUAAAGGCCCACCAAGCCUUCGAUCAGUAGCUGAUGUGAGAGCAUGAUCAGCCACACGGGCACUGAGACACGGGCCCGACUCCUACGGGAGGCAGCAGUAAGGAAUAUUGGUCAAUGGACGCAAGUCUGAACCAGCCAUGCCGCGUGAAGGAUGAAGGUCCUCUGGAUUGUAAACUUCUUUUAUAGGGGGCGAAAAAAGGUCUUUCUAGAUCACUUGACGGUACCCUAUGAAUAAGCACCGGCUAACUCC